GCCGCCGCUCGCGCGCGCCCCGCCGCCCGCGCCCCGCGCGCCGCCCGUGCCCGCGCCGCCCGCGCCCGCCGCGCCGCCCGCGCCCGCCGCGCUGCUGCGCGUCAAGCCGCAGCCCCGCACCAAGGUACGCGCGCCGCCCGCGCUCGACAGCUAGCGCGCUCCCCGCGCUGGCCGCCUUCGACCGGUGCGCCGCCGACCGCGCGUCCGUCGUCCUCUGACAGCUGGCGCGCCGUGCCGAUGCGCCAACAGGCGACGGCGCGUCGCUGCGCGGGCGUCAGCCUUUGACAGGCGCGGUGAUGCGCCACAGUAGAUCGUCGCUUUUUGACAGCUAACAGCAUAUCGAUGCGCUGUUUAUCGUGUAACGACGUUGUCGCCCUUUGGGUUAUUUUGACUGGACCGGAGGCGGAAUGUAUCGAAGCCUCCGAUGAAUGUAUCCGAUAUCGGUUUGGGGAAGAUGGUUUUCUCUUAUAAUUUCAAUAUCAGUCGUAGGGGCGAUACCGUUCCCGGAACGCACCCGUCGAGUGAAAAUAUCGGGGAGUCCGGAAACGUCCCCGACCCAUCGAAUUUGACCGCCAAUAUCCCGGCUCUCGUGGCCGCCGGCAGUGUGCUGAGCGCGCGUUGUGUUGCAGGAGGCGGCGGCGCGCGCGCUGGCGGCGGCGCGGCAGCUGCCCGAGGGCAGGUAGUGUCGGGGCCGCGCCCGCCGCGCCGCGCCUGUAUAGACAUCGGUAGAUGAAACUAUUUAACGUUCGCUCCUUAGAUAUUACGGUAGUCUAUCUGAUUUUAUUUAUCCCGGAGGCCGCGCCCGCGCUCUGUACAUACCGACGCCGGCCGCGGUCCGCCGCCGCCGACGCUCGCGGCGGCCGCUUCCCUUUGUUUGUUGGCUUUCCGAGUAUCCGUGUGACUUCGUUAUCGUAGAGUGUGAUAGUCGCGGAGCGUCCUCGCCGAGAGGAGUCGCCGCGGGCGCCGGCCCCCGCUUCUUAGAGCCCGCUCCGGCGAUUGUACAGUGAGGCGUAGUUUUUGUUCUUUUGUUAUGUUCUGCAUAGAAUUGAGAGUUAAUUAUACGCGUAUAGUUACCCUUGUAAUUGUAAAUUAAUAAUAAUUGUGGAGACUCCUCUCUAAAUUUUUAAUACAAACGAAUGCGACACCCACAGAUUCACUAGCUAUAUUAAGAAGUGCUUAUUAGUUUGAUUAUUAUACUCCAACAUUACAAAAAGUUUGUAUGUACCCUAAAUAAAUUCUAUAAUAUUAAAAUAUGCAUUUCAUUAUUUAAUUUCACUAAAAUUACGUGUAACUUUGUAUCAUAAUAUAAAACACAUGGCCCUCGGUUGCGUUAUGGAGUCUGAUCAAACUGCUUUGUUUAAAAUUGUAAGAAAGAUAUUUACAGCACCCCUACUUUCGAAUCCGAUUUUAGCAGGUGGGUGUUGAAAAUCACGGAUCUAGAUUGCAGCGACAUUUACUCGAUUACAAAAAUUUCACACAAACAGUAUCCGCGAUCUCUUGAGGUAAAGCACACUUCGCACACGCUGCAAAAUUGGUUCCGAAAGGUGUGCUUUUAUCUUUUGCUCUUGUGUAGUAUUCUGUGUAACUUCACUUUUUCAAUUCCCAUUCUGCUUAGAUCUCGAUCUCAAUGCCUAGCGGGUCAGGCUGUCUACUGUUUCUGUUCACACUGUAACACUAGGCAGGUAAUAUCGGCAACAGUGUUACUUACCCAUUGCCGGUCAUGUUGUCUCGUUCUAUCGCAAAGAAUCACCAUUUGAUGAGCGAGAGCAAAAACGGAAAUGGAUAGUUAACACUGUGGCCGAUAGUACAGGCAUCUCAUGCGCUGUAAUCUAAAGUUAAAGCGCCGGUAGGAGUGAAGCGCCCACUACUGGUUUUUGUGCAUUUCUUUAACAGCAACACAGACUAUACAAAUUCCUGUCUGCGUUCGGCUUUAAACUACGAACGUUUGGGAUAUACUUCCGCAAAAACGUAAAUUCAAUAGGCUAUUUUAUUGUUCCUAUAAACGUGGCUGAACGUGUAAACAGCUGUAAAUCGGAUUCUAGGUCAGGGUAAGAUAAGCUUCACUUGUAAAAUUGCAAAAAUCGACUUCAUUAACAAUAAGGGUGGUUAGUGGGCUUAAUCACUGUGUUUCACUUAUUGUUGCUCAUCCUUUUUGUUAUUUUAGAUUAACCGUAACAUUAUUAUUUUACUAAAUCUGCAAAACAACAAUGUAAAGCACUUUAUUCUUAAAUAAAAAUAUAUUAUACAAA